rnacentral:rRNA from 1 species
UGCCAGCCGCCGCGGUAAUACGGAGGGUGCAAGCGUUAUCCGGAAUCACUGGGUUUAAAGGGUGCGUAGGCGGCGUAAUAAGUCAGAGGUGAAAGACUGCGGCUAAACCGUAGAAUUGCCUUUGAUACUGAUGCUUGAAUGUGGUGGAGGUGAGCGGAAUGUGUCAUGUAGCGGUGAAAUGCAUAGAUAUGACAUAGAACACCAAUUGCGAAGGCAGCUCACUACGCCAUUAUUGACGCUGAGUCACGAAAGCGUGGGUAGCGAACAGGAUUAGAUA